rnacentral:rRNA from 1 species
CUGCUGACGAGCGGCGGACGGGUGAGUAAUGUCUGGGGAUCUGCCUGAUGGAGGGGGAUAACUACUGGAAACGGUAGCUAAUACCGCAUAACGUCGCAAGACCAAAGAGGGGGACCUUCGGGCCUCUUGCCAUCGGAUGAACCCAGAUGGGAUUAGCUAGUAGGUGGGGUAAUGGCUCACCUAGGCGACGAUCCCUAGCUGGUCUGAGAGGAUGACCAGCCACACUGGAACUGAGACACGGUCCAGACUCCUACGGGAGGCAGCAGUGGGGAAUAUUGCACAAUGGGCGCAAGCCUGAUGCAGCCAUGCCGCGUGUGUGAAGAAGGCCUUCGGGUUGUAAAGCACUUUCAGCGAGGAGGAAGGCAUUGAGGUUAAUAACCUUGGUGAUUGACGUUACUCGCAGAAGAAGCACCGGCUAACUCCGUGCCAGCAGCCGCGGUAAUACGGAGGGUGCAAGCGUUAAUC